GAUGAAGAACGUAGCGAAAUGCGAUAAGUAAUGUGAAUUGCAGAAUUCAGUGAAUCAUCGAAUCUUUGAACGCACCUUGCACCCUUUGGCAUUCCGAAGGGUAUGCUCGUUUGAGUGUCAUUGUACUCUCACACUUCCGAUCUUUGGAUUGGGAGCGGUGGACUUGGGUGUUGCUGCUUACUGUGGCUCACCUCAAAUCGAUUCGUGCACCUCUUGGUUGGACAUAGUACGGCGUGAUAAGUGUCUUCGCCGGCACCUCAGUAGAGGGUGGCUGAUCGGGAGCUCUGCUUCAAACCGUCCUCGGACAACAACUGACAACUUGACCUCAAAUCGAGUAGGACUACCCGCUGAACUUAAGCAUAUCAAUAAGCGGAGGA
rnacentral:misc_RNA from 1 species